GGUUUCACCUGAUUCACAGCAUUAACUGGUGUAAUUUCCCCAUACGAUAUUGGGUGUUGCAGGUGUUCUUUUAUAUUAACAGUGAUGUGGAGAUCUCUGCGAUGAGAAGAUUUAUGGGACUUGGCAGUCUAACUGUAGCAGCAGCAGGAUUGGUUAGAGUUUGUUGUGACUCUGCAAGUUGUUGUGGUACUUUGGCCACCCUCUGCCAGAAUGGAGCAAAAGGAGGCAGAAUACAUGCGCUUUUUUGUGAGUACUGUUGAGGUAGAAGUCCGCUGCCUUUCAGUGUUUGCGCAGUAAAUUCAAUGUCAAUAUGUGUACAGACGGCAGAUCUCCAAGGAGUCUGAGGUAAAUAGCCUUCCUUUUAGAGGUUUCUCGAGUGAGCUUCAGAGCUAAGGGAGUUCUUUGAGCCUUUGCCCAGUGCUGAGUUGGCAGAUGACUUGGGCAGGAGGCAGCCCUGGUGGCUGGGCAGUGCUGAGGGUGAGCUUUGAAACCUGCAAGCUUUUGGCAGCUCGGGAACAUUGACACUAGAGACUGCAGAGUCCCAAAAUCUGUGUGGCUGCCAGUGAGGGGUUUUGGUGAUCUACUUUAUUUUCAGUUGGUCAUUAAGAGCAGAAGCUCAAUGUCUCAAUUCCUUUGUCAGUCUAGCCCAGGAUGCUAAAAAAUCCUACAGAAAAUGCCUUUUCUGAACUAUAAAAAAAAAUACCACCCAUUUUGUUUUGCCUCUCUGAAGAUGGAGGAUUCUUGAACUCUCUGCUACCAAAUAGGAGUCUGGAGCUUGAGAAAUUAGUGAGUAGGUGGCAAAAAACUGAUGACAGGACGGCAUGUGACUUGUGCUGCUGACAGCAAAUAUAAAAAGUUGAAGAACUGGCUGUUACGGUGACAAAAAUUGAAAAUUCUUAUGCCCAUUAUGAGACUGAUGGAAAAGAUCCAGUUUCUGACAAGUCCUAAGGAAAACCUCCCUGCGUUGAGGGUUUUGGGAACUGGAUUCAAAGGCUGUUGGUCAGAACGUGGCUGUAGCGCUCAUCAGGAACCGCAAAUUCUGCUCAACAGGAAAUUCCUGUGUUUGUUUUUAAAACAGCAGUUCACUGGAAAAACCUUUGAGCAAUUCUAAUUGCUGGAUAUUUUUUUUUCCUGCUUUCUUCUGAAGCAUUAGUUAGCAGUGAGAGCGGGAUACUGGAACUGAAGAGUGAAUGGGCUGAUCUUUUGCCUGGUAUGAAGGAGAACCGUGUGCAGAAUGAGCUUCUCGUGUAGCUGCAGGAGGUCCGGAGGAGGGUGGCAGGGAUGAUCACGAGUAUGAAAUGGGCUCUGUUCCUGGUGACAGUAAACAGGCCGGGGCUGUCCAGCUUGAGGGCCUUUGGCAGGCAGCUGUAAGACAGCUUGGGGAAGGCAAAUUGGGAACUAUUUUUGUAACGCAAGUAGUGAGGGGACAACUUGGGAAAUUACUGGGUUGCAGGCUUGCAGCAAACAAAGCACGUUUUCACAUAGUGGGUUUACAUGUGAAUUCUGGAACUCAUUGCUAAAGCUAAAAAUGGUUUUAUUAAAAAAAAAAAAAAAAUAAAACAGAACCCUGGGGCUGCGGUUUCCCAGGGCACUGUGUCAUGCAAGGGGCGAGGACUCCGCCGAGACCGUCCAGCCCAGGCUGCCGCAGGCUGGCUCCUGCUGGCCGUGUGCGCCCUGGUGGGCUCACUGCGACGGGGCAGAGCUGCCGCAGCUGUGUUUUAAAGGAGGCGCUUGAGCCAACUUUGGGUACCCACGUUGUGUGCGUGUAAUAACCUUUUAUAGCGUAUUUGACAUUGUUUUCCUGUAGUCGUUGGAUGUGAUUUAAAUUUUAUUAUGAAAUUAUUAGCUUUAAUAGACUGGCCACAGGAAAGUAACAAUGUGUUUAUCAGUUUAUCACAAAAUGCAUUUAUCUGUAAAAUAUGAUAUCCCAACAUGUCUGAAUUUUGGGAAGCAAUGGGCUUAUACACCCUUAAUUAUAUUUUCCUGGUUUGAGUGGCUGGAAGACUGUUCUUUCUAGUUCUGUCUAUCUUAGAGAAAUCUGUCACUUUGAAUAAGAAUGAACCUUGACUGGUGGCAAUGAAAUCUUGACACUGUAUCACCAUAUAACUGGAUUUUAUUUAUUUUUAAUAGAAAUGUCAACUUAAAAGACAGAGUGCAUAUUUUUAAAUCACAUUAACAUUAUAUUUAGAUUUUUUUCUGUUAAAUUUUAGGUGUGCCGUCCCAUUAAAAAUAGGUAGCUAGAUAUAAAAACAUGAAGUCUUAAAGCUUGCUUACUAAAUAUUCAGAGUGCAAAUAGACAUCACUGGUAACACAAGAGAAUGGAGCUAUCUGCUUACAUUUAAAAAGUGUCACUGGUGUGAGUGAUAGGCAUCAAUAUAGGCGUAGUAUUAUUUCAGUAUCAUGCUGAUGGAGCGAGCACUCCUGCAACUACUUAUCUUUGCUUACAUGCCCAUGCCAUUUAAAUUUUUUUUUCUCAAUUUCAGGAAAAAACAUGCUGUGAUUUUUUUUUUUUUCUCUGAAUCAGCCACUGCUUCUAACUGCAAUGUAUGCUGUGUACUAGAGUGUCUAAAUGUCAGGAAAAUGUUAAGCCCUGCAGUACAAGAUAUGCAUGACGUAUAUAGUUUCUAAUAAUUUACUUGGUGGUCCUAGCAAGAAAUUCUGCGUUCAAGUACUGAUACAGUUUUAGAGCAUUUAUUCCUACAAGGGAACCAAAUUACUUUUGCUGGCUCAAAUGGCUUUUUGCUUCCCCAGGUGGCAGUUGCCCUCAGCAUCCCAGCGCAGGCUGCAUCCGUAGCACCGCGCUGCACUGUGCGCGUGCCGGGCUGGCUGGGGUGCUGCGUCAGCGCCGCACUCGGCUCCAGCCCGGAGCACGGCCCUCUCGGCAGCACCGGUUCCUCAGCACUCGUUGCAGCCGCGUAGUGCGUCUGCCGCAGGGUGGGCAGGUGGUGACGGCAGGCUGCUUCUGAACAGGACCUAGAUCAGGCUCAUGCCGUUGUUUGUGAUAACUGUGAUGGGACAGAGAUGGUGAGAGCAAGCAGGGGAAAAGGUGCUCAUGUUCAUAUUAUAGGUUCAUAUAGUCAUCCAUAAAGAUAUUCUAAAGUCCUGUGAGUGAUCUAUGAGUGAGCAUGUUUGUUACAUCUUUGACUCUCCCAGCUGGCUUCCUGUUAAAUCUGUUGCAAAGCAAAUUCCUCAGUCUAGCCUGUGAAUGACAAUUUCUGUCUUAAAUAAUAAGAACCAGGAAAGCCUUUGGUAUUCACUGACAAGCCAGUAAGUGAGGCCUGUUUUUGGUGUGGGUCACAUUAGACCAUACUGAGAGUGUUUGCAUGAGGUUUUUAGGAGCUCAGUCAUAGAAAGCACUUUUCUAUCCUUUAUUUAAACAGACACCUUCCCAGAAGAGUAACAGUCCAAACUGUGAAACACUGGCUGAGAAGAGCUGGAAAAGAUGGCCUGACUGGCUUUAUGCCACAAGUGCUGUACUCCAACUGACAUGCUCUCCUGGCGAACCUGGCAGCUGCUUGCUCCCUCAACCUUCCCAUCAGGAUUUUUUGAAAGCAAGUAAUGGUUAGGUAAUGGUUAGUUGUUGAAGAUACAGCUCAAGUGGAGAAAAAAAAAGACCAUCUCUUCUUGAACACGACUUACCAUCCUAAGGUCAACGCCAGAGAUGCUUUCCCUUCAUGUAACUAGUCACUAGGUAAAGGAGGAGCAGAGCAUUCAGCACACAACUGCAUAAGCAGCCCAGCACCCUCUACAAGACAAAGUUACAGAAAACACAUUCAAAGCCUGAAAAAUGAAAAAAAGGAAUACUUAUUGCUGAUAUUUUGGCCAGAUCCACUGCAUAGAAAGUGACGCUUGAAAAUUGAUCUGCACCACCAGACCAUCUGCCUGGCUGGAGUCCAACUCACUUCAACUUUGCAAGAUCAGGCCUUAAUUAGCAAGCUUCAGUGAAAGUAAAAAGAGUGCUGAUGAGAAGUGUGAAGGUUGCACCUAAAAAGAAAGGAAGAGAGAGAUCACUGCAGCCGGGAGAGGGGGAUCACCACCUGUGUGCUUGCUGUUGACAUGAGCCUUCAUAUCUGCCUCUUCCAUGGUGACAAAAUCGCAUGCUGUGCAGCAAAUCGAGAACAUCCACUGCUCUUUAUCCACAUGGAGGGACAUAUGACUGACAAACUGGACAUUCAUCUCUGUCUCAAACCCACAUACAUGACAGCUGCAGGCAGAAGGGAAUUCAAGAGCAAAAAAACAUUAACAAACAAAAUACAAACAUAAGCAUAUUGCCCUUCCCUUCAUUCUGUAAGUACAAACUCAUUGCGCAGGUUUCUCUUCCUCCUCACUGAUGAACAUUGACUGGAAAAUUCUUUUGUCUGCUGAACUGCCUUUGAACUGAUGGCCAUGCCAACGUGAUUAAGGGCAGGCACAACGCAACAAUCCUGUACAUGCUAUAAUGAUGCUAAAUAAUCGUAAAGUUAAUUAAAAACUACAGAUUCCAGAUGCUGCGCAUCACCUAGCUGAUUCCUUCGGGCAAUAAGAUGCACUGCAGCCUUGCCAAGAUGUUUAGUAGGGCUGAUACACUGACAAACGGAGAGCUUGCUGCACACUCCAGGAGUUAUUUUCAAGCUCUGGAAUGGUUCCCAUGCCAAACUGGGAUCUUGUGCAAAACUGCGUGGCAGACUCAGUGUAAGCAAGUAAAAAUGGGUUCAAACAUUCCUUCUGCUUGACUGGAAAACAGCAGUCAUCAGCUAUGCAAAUAAUUAGCAGAGAUACAGAUUUCACAGCCAGUGCAUAAACAGUGAUAUUUAGAGGCAAUGGAAGGGACCCUUUAAUUUAACUUUCUAUGCAGAGUCCUCCUCUUGCUUUGAUUAGGCCACUAACAUUUAAAACAAGCCAAAAACAUUUGAAAAGGCAUAUACUCUGGGGCGCGAUUUUGCCUUCCCAGGGGGAUGGACUAGAUAAUCUAAUACAGCAGGUCUCAUUUAUUUCUUACUUCUAUGAUUCUGUAAUUAAAUCUGUUCUUGGCACUUUGACUAAAAAUAAGAGUGAUUUUGUAAUCUGUCUGGCCACUAGGGUGCCUAUCACAGUUUGCAGAGCACACAACAGUGCAUACAACAAUGAGCAUGCCCAAACAACAGUUCUAUCUGGGUAAUUCCUCUUAUUUUUUUCAGGCAUAUUUUCCUAAUGGUUGUCUCUCUCUCAUUGUGUUGGUCACUGAAUCUUAGAACAUAUACACCUCUAGCAAAUAGAGGAAAUGUGUGUGUGGAGAUUGUAAUUCUUUUUAUACUUUACCAUUUGAUUUCAUGGAUUUGGCUGAAAAUAAUGGAAUGAACAGAGGCAACUGGAAACACUGUGCUUUAGAUUUGCCAUGAAUCUGUGUACACAAUGGGACUUUUCCAUACACAAAACUUAAACGAACACUGCAUAAAAAGUUUAAGAGGCUUCUAAGAGCAUGUCUGCCUCACAAAGCCAUUAAUAAUAAUAAAAUUAAAAAAACCCCAAACACAGUCUUUCCCAGUGGCUAGCCAAGUCAAACAGCAUGAGACAGCCAGCUGGGUUUUGCUGCUGAGCCCAAAGUCACAUAUGGGCAAGCCAAAUACUUUCAGUGCAGUUCCACCCUGGAAGGCCAGAAGGGCAGCCCUGUAACACGUCCUUAGCAGGCAGAUAAGACAUUCAGAUGCCCUUGUCUUGUGCACAGCCCUCCGCUGGGUCCUCACCUGUAGUAAUAAGGGUGCUUCUUUCCAUCACUGCCUUCAGAAGUGACAGCGCUGACAAUGUCCUCAGUGUCCGUACUCACCAGCUUCACAGAAUGGACGGUCAGGUGCUGGUUCAGAUUAGCACGGCACUUAGCAGCAUAGGGGCACAAGUGGCAUUUGUAUUUUCUCUCUUCUGAAAAAGAAACAGAAAACCUUGAAUGUACACUUCAUUUUGAAGCAAGCUGUUUCUAAAGCUUCCAGUAACCAAGUAUGCAUUCCUUUGGGUUUCUCCAAGCAGCUUUCAGAAUGAGGUACUUCGGAAGCUAGAGACUUUGGAAAGUUACAGUAGUUCACAGCAAUUACUCAGAAAAGAAAACUCAUUUGGAGGUAGUUUAGGAGUAUUUUUUUUAACUUGGUCUGAAAUUUGUAGUCAGAUAGUAUAAAACUUUAUAAACUCUGAAAAACUUGGGUAACUGCAGCUCUGAGAGCUGCAGCAGAGCCAGUAUAGAAACAGCUCAAUAAUCUACAACUACAUCCUUUACCUAGCAUCUAUUUGAUUUUUGGGUCCAGUUAAAUAUUUCUGAAGUUGCCCAUGUGAUCACUUGCAGAGAGUUGAUGUUUGAUUUUGUAUUAAAAUCUGAGGGUGGAGAGGAGAGAGAAGGCUGCAUUGCAUCAUUAGGCCAGUUCUGAACACAAGCCAACCAAAAACCACUCAAAGAACAAUUAAACAACCCAAACAAAUUCAUCAUCUGUUUCUGAUGCUUCACAACUUUUAAAAUAGAAAUGAUUUUUUAAAAAAUUAAAUGUUCCUAAAUCCUGGCAGCAAAGUUCUUGUACGUACCAGAGUUCAUUUUGUAAGGAGUUGAUUAGUUAAAAAAACCCAAACAUUGUAUUACAUCAGCUUUACAAGCCUUCCCUUUGAAGACCUGAUGCUCUAAAUUUGAAAUAUACUGAUACAAGUGUAUUAGGCACAAGAAAUUCAAUAGAGCAGUUUAAGAAAACCCCACAAAGUCAUGGAACAGAGCAUCUGAACCUUUUCAGUGAGGCUCUAUUAAAUGGUACAACAUUUACUGGCAUUAUACCAACGAGAUUUUACAGCACUGCAUCAGAAAUUCUUGCUUUCAAGUCUUAUUUCGUGCAGUGUGCCUCAGCAAGCUAACAAGGUGCACCUUCCGUAUAAAAACUGUUAGUCUUAGCUGAUUUGAAACUGAUUGACUUUAAGGAAGCUGGUGUGGGGUAAAAUAGCCCCUGUUCCUUUCAGCGGAAGCAAAUGAUGAGAGCACAGGUGAAUUACAGAUAUUAAAUCCUUUAAGUUUCAUCAUAUUUGAAACACCAAGGCCAGAUCUUUUGUUGUUCAGUAGGGUUUAAAAAGCUCAUCAGGUGAAUGCAAGAAAGGAUAGACGAAAGCUGCAUCUUCUCUUUAGAGCUCUGUUAAGAGGCGUGCUUAAUCAAUUGAUAUCUACAGACUAGCCUACUGGAACUUGGAUAAAUAUACAUUUUGUAAAGAUAAAUUACAAAUUUUGUAAAGAUAAAUGUAUAUUUUUGCAAAGAAAAAUAAAAAGUUCGUUAACUCCCUGAA